GUUCCACCCAGCGUAAUAGGAUCCAGCUGGUCAGGAGACUCUAAACUCCCAUCUCCACCCAUCACUUUGUGUUCUUGACCUCUCUGAGCCUCAGUGUCCUUUGUAUUGAAAAGAGAGGGAGAAACCAUCUGCCUGACCUUCACACAGAGAACGGGAAGCCGAUAAAGCCUAUGAAAACCCUUUGUAAGCUGUCGGCCUCUAUAAAAAGGUAACCUGCUGUUCCCGAUGGGAAGGUCUGAUUCCCUGGGCUGUGUUACAGUUUAUUAGGAUGAUCUUUCCCGUGGUACUUAGGUAGAUCUCCGGAAUUGCUGGUACCUGUGAGGCUGUGACGAUAUCAAAGUUUCCCCGGGAAUGUGACGAAGGCCUGACUCACGGCAGAGAAUCUUCUUUUCCUUCAGUUGCAUCUCGGAGGGCUCACGAGUACCUGACUUUCAGUGCCGUUGCCGGGACAGUCAGUCUCACAGCAACCUCAGAAGAUGGGUGUUCUCACUCUAACAGACGGAUCAACAAACACUGAGUGACUCUAACAAGAUCACAGCAAGUUACGGAGACAAGGUCCCAACCCCACACUGCCAGGCUCCGUCCCCAUGUUGCUAUUUGUAAAGAGAAGGCCACCUCGUUCACCUAGUUCUUCUGGGGAAAAUCCACAAAGUCAGCAGGUAGAUUGCCGAGCGGGCUGCGUUUGGCUGUAGUAUUUCCAGUCACGUGGGGGGAGUCCCUUUCGUGUCAGAAGCCUCCCUAAAUUCGUACAAGUAGUUAAAGGGGAGCAAAGCUUCUAAAAGUGUAACCACUAUCUUUUAAAGAGACCAUUUUGAGGCCAUGUAUGUGUGUGUAUGUACAUACCUCCAAACUCGCCCACUAAAGUGGAAACACGGCAAAUCUAAGUUUCAUAAUUAGGAGUACAUGAUACAUAACUCAAUAAUUAGGAUAUAAAGUACCCUGAAAAAUAAAAAAUGGUAGAAAACAUGGAAAACAUUGCUUUAAAGAGACAUAAUGAGCCCCAUUUGGGAGGGAGAAAAACAGACAAUAAAUCAGUUGAAUAAAUACAGACCAAAAUCUGGAUAGAAUUAUCUCAAAUGAGUUAAUAGCCUAAUUCAAAAUAAUAUUUUAGGCUUCCAGCCACAGGCUUACAGAUUCACUAAGUCUGUCCUCAGCAUCAGUUUUCUGAAUCUGUUCUGUAUUUAUUUUAGUGGAAAUGAGUGAAGAAUUAAGACAUAACUAAAUUACUUUUCCAUGAUGCAUAUGUUACAUUGGUGCCAUAAAAACAUAGUUUCCUCAAAGUUUAAUUUAUCAAGUGGAGUGUAAGAUUAAAAUAAAGAUACUCCCUUGACAUAUACAAAUAUACACAUAUGUACACAGAUCUACAUUUACUUCUCAUGAAGCUCUCCCUGGUACUCUGGGCAGAGAACAAAUUAUGUCACCAAGAACAGGAUUUGUUUUAUAAAAUGAUUUCUAAGAUAAGUAGUUGCUGGAGAAUGUUCUACUGGCAUUCUACAUUUCACACUCAGACUUAGCAGACAUAGAAUCUGCUUUCUAUUGUAGAAAUCAAUUUUAGCAACAUUCAUAAAAACAAAAGGAGGCCAAGAUACGAACAUUAAAGACUGUUACGUCUUUUGAUAACAUUCAGGAGUAUAUACACCAUAACAUUUUAGAUAAUCGUAGGUAACCUUAUGCUCAGCCCUGAAAAGAAGGAAAUUCUUUAUCCAAAGAAAAGCUAUUUCUAGAUAUUUUUAUAAGUUACCUAUCAUAACCACUGGCUUUUCUUAAUAUUAAUUGGAAACCAGACUGGAGAAGAUAUUCACAGCAUGUGAGAAAACAGGAAUGUGCACUCAUCCCUGGGCAUUGCGAAUUACCAUCACCUCUUGGACGGGAAACUGACAAACUGGAGGAAAGUUGAAGGCGUCAGCAACUUCACUUCUACGCGUCUUGUUCUAAAAUGUGCAAGACGGCGUGUGAAACGAUAAUCAUUGCAGCCCUGCGCAGAGCAGUAAAGAGUAGAAACAACUUUCACAUCCUUUCUUGGUGUGAUGAAUAAAGAAACGGAGGUUUAAUCAUAGGAUGAGAUAGUACACAAUGUGUGUAGACCUAGAUCCACGUAUAACUAUACGGAUAAAGUGGGAAAAUAUUAUUGAGUCUAAAAGCAAGCUACAGGGGUGACUGCGUGGCUCAGUUGUUAAGCGUCAGACUCGAUUUCAACUCAGGUCGUGAUCUCGUGGUUUCAUGGGUUCAAGCCCUGCGUCGGGCCCUGCACUGACAGUGUGGAGUUUGCUUGAGAUUCUCUCUUUCCCCCUCUCUCUGCCCCUCCUCUGCUCAUGCUGUCUCUGUCUCUCUCAAAAAUGAAUACAUUUAAAAAAAAAUUAAAAGCAAGCUACAAAACUACUGAACAGCACAAAAACCUUUAUAAAAAAUUUAAGACACAGAAGCAAAGGCAGAUAUAUUUUGUAUAUUCAUCCUUACACAGAUAAGUCACAAAAACAAGAAUGGGAAUAACACACACAACUAUUAGAUUAUAAGCCACCUUUGUGGAGAAGGAUGAGUAAGAGAGAGGACGAAGGACGUUGUUUAAUUUAAAAUGUUUAACUUAAUCUCUUCAAACUAGAAAUAUUUGAAGCAAAUAUUGCAAAAUAAUAGUAUUUGUUUAAUGUCUAUGGGAAGUCAGUAGGUGUGUGUUACAUUUUUUGGCACCUGCCUACAGGUUUGAAAUAUUAACAAUUAAACGAUUAAAAAUGUUACUAAUUGAA